GCCCCGCACCGUCCAGUCUGAGGGGAGCGGCGCGAGGAGGAGACGCAUCGCCGCCAAAGCCACAGCCUUCUCUCGGGCUCCGCCAGGGACCGGCUGCCAGGAGCUUCCGCCCCGCGGCCCUGCGAGCUGCGGUCUCAGGUUUCUUUGCCUCCAGAAAGAAAAAAUUGACACCUUGCAUCCUGGAAGUUCAUUUAAGAGACUGAAAUUAGGGACUUCUUUCGAAUUUGGACAUGGCUAAUCGAGGAGCAACAAGACCCAACGGGCCAAAUACUGGAAAUAAAAUAUGCCAGUUCAAACUAGUACUUCUGGGCGAGUCUGCUGUUGGCAAAUCAAGCCUAGUGCUUCGUUUUGUGAAAGGCCAGUUUCAUGAGUUUCAAGAGAGUACCAUUGGGGCUGCUUUUCUAACGCAAACUGUGUGUCUUGAUGACACAACAGUAAAGUUUGAAAUAUGGGAUACAGCUGGUCAAGAGCGAUACCAUAGCCUAGCACCAAUGUACUACAGAGGAGCACAAGCAGCCAUAGUUGUGUAUGACAUCACAAAUGAGGAGUCCUUUGCCAGAGCCAAAAAUUGGGUUAAAGAACUUCAGAGGCAAGCCAGUCCUAACAUUGUAAUAGCUUUAUCAGGAAACAAGGCUGACCUUGCAAAUAAAAGAGCUGUUGAUUUCCAGGAAGCACAGUCCUAUGCAGAUGACAACAGUUUAUUAUUCAUGGAGACAUCAGCUAAAACAUCAAUGAAUGUAAAUGAAAUAUUCAUGGCAAUAGCAGUUCCUAGAGAAGUACCCUAAGGUGAUGGUGGCUUUUCUUCCCAAACCUUGAUGUUCUGGCUUCCCGAUCCAUUGCCCAGCCCAGCAUCUAGAAUUCUAGAGAUUAUUAAUGCUGAUGUGGAAUAUUACAACAAAUAAAGGAUAGAAGAUCCAAGACACAAUUAGGCAUUCAGAUUUUGAACUAAAAAGUUGCCAAAGAAUGAACCACAGAAUCCAGGAGCAAAUUCUGCCAGGGGAAGAGGAGUAGACCUUACUGAACCCACACAGCCAACCAGGAGUCAGUGUUGUAGUAACUAAGCCUCCAGUUUGAACUAGCUGGAAUAGUCUUCUGCUUCCUAAAUGUAAUAACCGUGGAAUUGGAGCAUUUAACCAGCUCAGUAUGACUUCCAAAAAGAAGAGACUUAUGAUAGAGUCAAGUUUCUAAUACAGAAUUAUUUUAAGUGUUUUGAACUUAAUUUUUAAUGACAUGCAUGUGACCCUCUGACUAACGUUUCAGCAGUAGAAGGGGGAAAUGAGAGCUGUGUAUACUUGUUUCCUUGGAAGGUUAGGAGGAAUCAUUUCUCAUCACCAGGGAUAUAGGCAAAUGACUAUCUGAACCCACAGUUAACCAGCCAGUUCUAAGAAAGAGAUUUCGAACUUAAUUUGAGCCUUUCAGAAACACUUUUUUUUUUAGAAGGUUCUAAAGAUAUUUAUGCUUAGCUAUAGUAUUUAGGCAGCCAGUAAUUUCUCUUAGUAUCCGUAUUUAAAGUGUACAUUCCACAUUUAAACAAAUUAGCCGCAAGAAAACAGUCCCACAUAUGGGGUUGGAGGGGGGGGGGGGGGGGAAUGAACAUUAGGGGCAUCUAAAUUGUAGCCAGUCCUGUUAUUUUUUUAAAUGGGGUAAAAAAAAAAAAAAAGCCAAUUGUAACCUCAUCUUGUUUUAAGAAUAUGUAAACUGAUAAAAUGCAUCUUAAUGGGUAGUGUUCCCUUCAAAGGUGAGCUCUUCAACAAAAGUGAAACAAACCAGGUGUCUGUGAUUUCUGUUUACUCACUGCAGGCCAUUUUAUUGGUUUUGUUUAGGGGCAUGGAGGUCCAGGGCUUUGUUCCCUUUGGGCAUAAUAUAGUCAAUGCACUAACAAUUAUGUACAUUCAGACUUGAUUAUUUUAAAUUUGAUCUUCAGCUGUACUGUAAAUAAGGUACUGCACUGUAGUCUCCAUAUGUUCCUUUUCUGUAAUAUUUAAGAGUUGCUUAAAAGCAUACAAAAUGUACAGUUACUAAAACAGCUAAUUUCUUCCUUCUUGCCCCCUUUCAAAGGAAGGGGCUUCGGAACCGUAAUAACCAAUGUACCAGUAAUUUGUAGCAUAAGUAUUGCGAUAUGUUAGUAAUAAUCUUGCAGCCUUAUUUUCCAAAGUUUGUUUUUUUUGAUCAAUUCAGUAUAUUGCACUAAUUGUUUUAGGUAUUUUCAUUAUAUGAAAUCUACCAUGUGUCAGAGAUGAUUUUAAUCUAUUUAAGUGUUGAACUGCUAGCAGAACUUGUACAUUUACAGUAAUUCAAAAUUAGUAAGGAAAACAGUUCACCAGUGUUUAGUUUUAUAUUGAGGUGCUCAGGUUGGAAUAAAGUGGUAUAAAAAGCAA